rnacentral:rRNA from 1 species
GGCGGCGUGCUUAACACAUGCAAGUCGAACGGAAAGGCCCUGCUUUUGUGGGGUGCUCGAGUGGCGAACGGGUGAGUAACACGUGAGUAACCUGCCCUUGACUUUGGGAUAACUUCAGGAAACUGGGGCUAAUACCGGAUAGGAGCUCCUGCUGCAUGGUGGGGGUUGGAAAGUUUCGGCGGUUGGGGAUGGACUCGCGGCUUAUCAGCUUGUUGGUGGGGUAGUGGCUUACCAAGGCUUUGACGGGUAGCCGGCCUGAGAGGGUGACCGGCCACAUUGGGACUGAGAUACGGCCCAGACUCCUACGGGAGGCAGCAGUGGGGAAUAUUGCACAAUGGGCGGAAGCCUGAUGCAGCAACGCCGCGUGCGGGAUGACGGCCUUCGGGUUGUAAACCGCUUUCGCCUGUGACGAAGCGUGAGUGACGGUAAUGGGUAAAGAAGCACCGGCUAACUACGUGCCAGCAGCCGCGGUGAUACGUAGGGUGCGAGCGUUGUCCGGAUUUAUUGGGCGUAAAGGGCUCGUAGGUGGUUGAUCGCGUCGGAAGUGUAAUCUUGGGGCUUAACCCUGAGCGUGCUUUCGAUACGGGUUGACUUGAGGAAGGUAGGGGAGAAUGGAAUUCCUGGUGGAGCGGUGGAAUGCGCAGAUAUCAGGAGGAACACCAGUGGCGAAGGCGGUUCUCUGGGCCUUUCCUGACGCUGAGGAGCGAAAGCGUGGGGAGCGAACAGGCUUAGAUACCCUGGUAGUCCACGCUGUAAACGGUGGGUACUAGGUGUGGGGUCCAUUCCACGGGUUCCGUGCCGUAGCUAACGCUUUAAGUACCCCGCCUGGGGAGUACGGCCGCAAGGCUAAAACUCAAAGGAAUUGACGGGGCCCCGCACAAGCGGCGGAGCAUGCGGAUUAAUUCGAUGCAACGCGUAGAACCUUACCUGGGUUUGACAUGGAUCGGGAGUGCUCAGAGAUGGGUGUGCCUCUUUUGGGGUCGGUUCACAGGUGGUGCAUGGCUGUCGUCAGCUCGUGUCGUGAGAUGUUGGGUUAAGUCCCGCAACGAGCGCAACCCUUGUUCACUGUUGCCAGCACGUUAUGGUGGGGACUCAGUGGAGACCGCCGGGGUCAACUCGGAGGAAGGUGGGGAUGACGUCAAGUCAUCAUGCCCCUUAUGUCCAGGGCUUCACGCAUGCUACAAUGGCUGGUACAGAGAGUGGCGAGCCUGUGAGGGUGAGCGAAUCUCGGAAAGCCGGUCUCAGUUCGGAUUGGGGUCUGCAACUCGACCUCAUGAAGUCGGAGUCGCUAGUAAUCGCAGAUCAGCAACGCUGCGGUGAAUACGUUCCCGGGGCUUGUACACACCGCCCGUCAAGUCAUGAAAGUUGGUAACACCCGAAGCCGGUGGCCUAACCGUUGUGGGGGAGCCGUCGAAGGUGGGACUGGUGAUUAG